rnacentral:lncRNA from 10 species
UGAAUAAGUCUCACAAGAUCUGACGAUUUUAUAAGGGGUUUCCCCUUUCACUUGGCUCUUAUUCUCUCUUGUCUGCCAUCAUGUAAGACAUGCCUUUCACCUUCUGCUGUGAUUGUGAGGCCUCCCCAGCCACAUGGAACUGUAAGUCUAUUAAAUCUCUUUUUCUUUAUAAACUACCCAGUCUCAGGUAUGUGUCUAUCAACAGCGGGAGAACAGACUAAUACAUUGCCCCUUCUCUUUUCUCUUCUCAUGGCUGCUGUGUAGUUCAGGCUCUCACCAUCAGCUUCCUUCCUCUUACAAACCCCACACUCCACCCACUCUAUCCUGUCUUCUACAGUGCAAUCAAAGGUUUAAAAAUUAAAAUAUGAACAUGCUCCUUCUACAGCUACAGACCUCCCAUAGCUCCUCACUAUGUAGAAUAAAAUGCAAACUCUUUAGUAUCCUGUUGAAAGCCCUCUGCAGUGUAACCCCAAUGCCCUGCCAACAUCUGUUCUCAGUCACUCUUACCUAGUACCCUACAUUCCAGCCCCACAGAACCCACUCCUCUCCUUCCAUGUCAGGUCCCUUUUUGACUCUGUGACAUUGAAUUUUGUGUUCCCACCUCCUGGAAUGAUCUUCCUUAUAUUCUCUGCCUGGAGAAAACUAACCUCUGGUAUUUUUUUACUUUAUCAACCAUUCCCUGCUAUAUUCCUGUAUUCUCAUAGGACUUACCAUCUCUGUUUUGCAAUUAUUUGUAUGUCAGGCUCUUUAUUGAUACUGUGAGCUUCUGCAGGGCAGGACUGUGUGCUAUGAACUUGCCUCUGUAUCUUCAGUACCUACCUCCAGACAUUCCCACAGUGGGUACCUACUAGACGCAUAAAUGAAUAAAUUUCUUGGUCUACUAGCUGGGACCCUGGGUCUCUACUUUCCUGCCCCAGAGCUUAUAACUCAGCUGUAAGAGCUUCCCUAAGUUAAUGUCAAUUGCCUCUGAUAUCUAGGAGUUUGUUAGUGGACCUCUGCUGCAGACAAUUCUUACUACAGAAACUUGGAAGGGAUUCUUGGGAAUUCAGGUACAAACCCAGCCAGCAACAUCUCUGUUUUCAUCUAUUUCUUGUUCCAAUUUUGGUACUGAACGAGUGAGCCUGAGAAGAAGAGGAUAACCCAGUGGGUGUUACCUGUGGGUCUGGAUGUCGGCUAACAAUGAUGGGGACUGGACCGGGAUCACAGUGACUCAGGAUCGUGUAGACUUCAUUGAGCGUCAGGCAGUGCACAGGGGAAUCACUGAUUUCCACAAUCUCGUCCCCACACCUGUGCAAGCAUCAAUAAGAAGCCAUCAGGAAAGAACUAUGGGUCAUGGAGAAUGGAAGCAAGAAGACCAGCUAAGAGGCCUCUGUUGAGAGAAACAGUGGUGGCCUUGGACUUCACCUCCAGUGAAGAUGGAAAGAAACGGAUGCCCAUGGAAGAUAUUUUGAAGAUAGACUUGCUGAUGGAUGAAGUAUAGAAACUUAACAAAUAAAAUCAAAAUAACUUGGAGA